rnacentral:tRNA from 1 species
UUCCCACACCGGGAAUUGAACCCGGGCCUCCUGGGUGAGAGCCAGGUAUCCUAACCACUAGACCAUGUGGGA